CAUUUUCAGAUUUGUCCACAAAGCUGAGCUUCCAGCUCCACUUUCUAGUUUCUUAUACAUUGGAAAUGUUAUAAAUGUUAAAAAAGGAAAGAAGCAUUGGAAAAUACACAUAUAGCUUUCCAGGCUAUUCUUCAUAUCUUCCACCUCCAUUUUCUCACAGAUACAAAUGUGAUUUGAUAAAAAGGUUACUGAUAUUCGAUCAACGUAAUUUUUCACAGAUGUAACCGAAGACGAAGAACUUAAAGACUGAGAAACAAAUGUUCCUCCAGGAUACAACAGACCUGACACGUUGCUGUAAUUCACAUCAUUACUCUCUUUACCAAGAAGUUGUGCAUAGUGAAAAACAUUA